AACGUAGGUGGCGAGCGUUAUCCGGAUUUACUGGGCGUAAAGCGCUUGUAGGUGGUUUUGUAAGUUGGGCGUGAAAUCUCCGGGCUUAACUUGGAGAGGCCGUCCAAUACUGCGAGGCUAGAGGUUAUUCGAGGAAAGUGGAAUUCCUGGUGUAGUAGUGAAAUGCGUAGAUAUCAGGAGGAACACCCGGUGGCGAAGGCGGGCUUCUGGACGAUAC
rnacentral:rRNA from 1 species